ACGGGGAGCAGCAGGCGCGAACCUUCCCAAUGCGCGAAAGCGUGAGGGGGGGACUCCGAGUUCCUCCGUAAGGAGGAUUUUGUGGCGUGUAAUAAGCGUCACGAAUAAGGGCCGGGCAAUGCCAGUGCCAGCCGCCGCGGUAAUACUGGAGGCCUAAGUGGUACUCACUAUUAUUGGGCUUAAAGGGUCCGUAGCCGGUUUGCUAAGUCUCUUGUGAAAUCCUGCGACUUAAUCGUAGGGCGUGCAAGAAAUACUGGCAAGCUAGAGGAUGGAAGAUGUUGCGGGUACUCCUGGGGUAGGGGCGAAAUCCUAUAAUCCUAGGAGGACCAUCAGGGCGAAGGCGCGCAACCAAGACAUACCUGACGGUGAGGGACAAAAGCUAGGGGUGCAAACCGGAUUAGAUACCCGGGUAGUCCUAGCCGUAAACGAUGUGGUUUGGGUGUUGCGGGAGCUUUGGGCUCUCGCAGUGCCGAAGGAAAACUGUUAAAACCACCGCCUGGGGAGUACGGCCGCAAGGCUGAAACUUAAAGGAAUUGGCGGGGGAGCA
rnacentral:rRNA from 1 species